AAGAUAAGCGCACGCUAGCGUCGGUCUACCGAGCAGUGAUACCCGCUCGGCGGAAGAUCUUCCCUUUGUCGU
rnacentral:pre_miRNA from 1 species